UGCCAGCAGCCGCGGUAAUACGGAGGGUGCAAGCGUUGCUCGGAUUUACUGGGCGUAAAGCGACCGCAGGCGGUUUGCCAGGUCCGAUGUGAAAGCCCGGGGCUCAACCCCGGAAGUGCAUCGGAAACCGGCAGACUUGAGUACGGGAGAGGAAAGCGGAAUUCCUGGUGUAGAGGUGAAAUUCGUAGAUAUCAGGAGGAACAUCAGCGGCGAAGGCGGCUUUCUGGUCCGAUACUGACGCUCAUGGUCGAAAGCGUGGGGAGCAAACAGGAUUAGCUA
rnacentral:rRNA from 1 species